GUCUCGUUGGUGUAGUUGGUUAUCACGUGGGUCUCAUAGCUCUGUAUCUAUGACUGACUGUUUACAGUUGGAUAUCCCAAGGCCGCCAGUUCGAGUCUGGCACGGGACA